rnacentral:rRNA from 14 species
CUAGCUGGUCUGAUAGGAUGAUCAGCCACACUGGAACUGAGACACGGUCCAGACUCCUACGGGAGGCAGCAGUGGGGAAUAUUGGACAAUGGGCGAAAGCCUGAUCCAGCAAUUCCGCGUGUGUGAAGAAGGCCUUAGGGUUGUAAAGCACUUUAAUCAGGGAAGAAAAAGCUUUGGCUAAUAUCCAAAGCCUUGACGGUACCUGAAGAAUAAGCACCGGCAAACUCUGUGCCAGCAGCCGCGGUAAUACAGAGGGUGCGAGCGUUAAUCGGAUUUACUGGGCGUAAAGCGUGCGUAGGAGGCUUGUUAAGUCGGUUGUGAAAUCCCCGGGCUCAACCUGGGAACUGCAGUCGAUACUGGCAAGCUAGAGUUCGGUAGAGGGUGGUGGAAUUUCCGGUGUAGCGGUGAAAUGCGUAGAGAUCGGAAGGAACACCAAUGGCGAAGGCAACCACCUGGGCCUGAACUGACUCUGAGGCACGAAAGCGUGGGGAGCAAACAGGAUUAGAUACCCUGGUAGUCCACGCUGUAAACGAUGUCUACUAGCCGUCGGGGUCCUUAGUGACUUUGGUGGCGCAGCUAACGCGAUAAGUAGACCGCCUGGGGAGUACGGCCGCAAGGUUAAAACUCAAAUGAAUUGACGGGGGCCCGCACAAGCGGUGGAGCAUGUGGUUUAAUUCGAUGAUACGCGAGGAACCUUACCAGGGCUUAAAUGUAGUGUGACAGGGGCAGAGACGCCUUUUUCUUCGGACACAUUACAAGGUGCUGCAUGGUUGUCGUCAGCUCGUGCCGUGAGGUGUCAGGUUAAGUCCUAUAACGAGCGCAACCCCUGUUGUUAGUUACCAGCACAUUAUGGUGGGGACUCUAACAAGACUGCCGGUGCAAACCGUGAGGAAGGUGGGGAUGACGUCAAAUCAUCACGGCCCUUACGUCCUGGGCUACACACGUGCUACAAUGGUGCGCACAGAGGGCUGCAAACCCGCGAGGGGGAGCCAAUCUCACAAAACGCAUCGUAGUCCGGAUCGCAGUCUGCAACUCGACUGCGUGAAGUCGGAAUCGCUAGUAAUCGUGAAUCAGAAUGUCACGGUGAAUACGUUCCCGGGCCUUGUACACACCGCUCGUCA